rnacentral:tRNA from 1 species
GGGAGAAUAGUUCUAAUGGUAGAACAGCGGCCUCCAAAGCUGAAGGUUAGGGGUUCGAAUCCCUUUUCUCCUG